UACACGACCGUACCGCAAACCGACACUGGUGCGCGAGAUGAGUAUUCUAAGGCGCUUGAGAGAACUCAGGAGAAGGAACUCGGCAAAUUGACACCGUAACUUCGGAAGAAGGUGUGCCUUUAGUAGGUGAACCAUUUACUUGGGGAGCCCAAUGAGGCUGCAAAAAAUCGGUGGCUGCAACUGUUUAUUAAAAACACAGCACUCUGCUAAGACGAAAGUCGACGUAUAGGGUGUGACGCCUGCCCGGUGCUGGAAGAUUAAAUGAUGGGGUGCAAGCUCUUGAUUGAAGUCCCAGUAAACGGCGGCCGUAACUAUAACGGUCCUAAGGUAGCGAAAUUCCUUGUCGGGUAAGUUCCGACCUGCACGAAUGGCGUAAUGAUGGCCACACUGUCUCCUCCUGAGACUCAGCGAAGUUGAAAUGUUUGUGAUGAUGCAAUCUCCCCGCGGAAAGACGGAAAGACCCCAUGAACCUUUACUGUAGCUUUGUAUUGGACUUUGAACAGAUCUGUGUAGGAUAGGUGGGAGGCUUUGAAGUGUGGUCGCUAGAUCGCAUGGAGCCAACGUUGAAAUACCACCCUGGUGUGUUUGAGGUUCUAACCUAGGUCCAUUAUCUGGAUCGGGGACAGUGCAUGGUAGGCAGUUUGGCUGGGGCGGCCUCCUCCCAAAGUGUAACGGAGGAGUUCGAAGGUACGCUAGGUACGGUCGGACAUCGUGCUAAUAGUGCAAUGGCAUAAGCGUGCUUAACUGCGAGACUGACAAGUCGAGCAGAUGCGAAAGCAGGACAUAGUGAUCCGGUGGUUCUGUAUGGAAGGGCCAUCGCUCAACGGAUAAAAGGUACUCUGGGGAUAACAGGCUGAUACCGCCCAAGAGUUCAUAUCGACGGCGGUGUUUGGCACCUCGAUGUCGGCUCAUCUCAUCCUGGGGCUGUAGCCGGUCCCAAGGGUAUGGCUGUUCGCCAUUUAAAGAGGUACGUGAGCUGGGUUUAAAACGUCGUGAGACAGUUUGGUCCCUAUCUUCCGUGGGCGCUGCAGAUUUGAGGAAGCCUGCUCCUAGUACGAGAGGACCGGAGUGGACGAACCUCUGGUGUAUCGGUUGUCACGCCAGUGGCAUUGCCGAGUAGCUAAGUUCGGAAGAGAUAACCGCUGAAAGCAUCUAAGCGGGAAACUCGUUUCAAGAUUAGAUCUGCCGGGGCCUUGAGCCCCCUAAAGAGUCGUUCAAGACCAGGACGUUGGUAGGUCAG
rnacentral:rRNA from 1 species